rnacentral:lncRNA from 1 species
GGUUUCGCGGCGCUAGCCGCACUGGUUGUUCAGCACCUUCGGUCCGGUUGAGGUUGUCAAGUCGGACCAAAUAGGUUGUUUCUCUGCAGUUUCCGACAUGGCAGGGAGGUUUAAUAGACAUGGAUAAGAAGUCCACUCACAGAAAUCCUGAAGAUGCCAAGGCUGGCAAAUAUGAAGGUAAACACAAACGAAAGAAAAAAAGAAAGCAAAACCAAAACCAGCACCGAUCCCAACAUAGAUCAGUGACAUCUUUUUCUUCAGAUGAUCCUAUGUUUCCUUCUUCCUCAUCAUCAUCUUCAGGAAGCCAGACAGAUUCAAGUAUUGAAGAUGCUGCCAAGGGAAAAAUUAAGAAGAAGAUAAGAGAGAAAACAAAUAAAUGGAGGGAAAAAAGAAAGGUUAGUAAUUGUGAGUAAUAUAAGAAUAGGAUUUGGCUAUUAGAGGAUAUUGUACGUAUUAAUUAAGAAACAGAAUCUAUAAGGAAUUUGAAGAGAUAAAAGUCAAGGAUUGGUUAACAUGGUAGUUAACAUGGUGCUAAGCUUAUAGUGUCCUUUGCUGCUUUUCAAAUACUUCUCAGAAAACUAUGCAGACAGGUAAAACCUUAUAAUUACAAUUCUUUAGAUUCUUUUUAAUUUUGGUGUUAACAUAGUUAUAAAAUAGCCUAUGUGCUUUGAAAUAAAUGCAAGUAAUAGAGACAUAAAUUAAAUGAAAGGCAAAAUAGCUACACUCUUUUCUCUUUAUUUAAUUUCCCUAUGCUUAUCACUCAAGUA